rnacentral:lncRNA from 1 species
UCUUGUUCCAGUUCCUCUACUUCUAGUAGUUCCUGAGGAAAGGAAAUCCGAUCUUAUCAAAUCUCAUCUCCUGCGGGGAAAGCCUUUAGAAAAGACUCAGUUUUCCAGCUAUACGAGAAGGAAAGAAGAGAAAGGGCCAUUCCAUAUAGCUUUCCUUUAAUUGCAUUACCUACUUCUUCCUAUGAAUAGAAUUCCGAGCCUGUACGAACUCUUCCCCUUCCUCUAGAAUUCCCUUCUUCCUUCGGUAGCUGGGAGUUAGAAGUUAGCUCUUCUUUGCGGAGGAUCUUUUAGAUUCCUUUCCUCUACUAGCUGCUAGAACUUCCGACUAGCAAGAACUAGCAACAGUAGAAAGAGGAUUAGCUACAGUAGCCCAGAACUGAACUCAACUGAAAGACUAAAAUCGAUGAACUGGUUGAUUCAUUGAUUGCGACUUUCCGAUCCUAUAUAUUCUAUUUGGUCGAGCGGGGUAGAG